AAGAACUAUGACUGAAGUCUAUUGCAAGCUAAAUAGAUAUGAAAAGCCAUCAUAAAAUCCCUGUUAAAUUUAGUGGCUAUGUCAUAAGUAUGCUGUCUAAUUAGUCUUUAUUAAAAUUCUUAUAAUUACAAUACAAAGAAAAAGGCUGCCUAUGGUUUUGACUCUUUGAAUUGUGAUUGUUAAAAGGUUCUUUUCUUUUUCCCGCUCUUGGUACUUAGAAAAUUAUUGUGAUAAAGUGACAGUGUUGUUCUCUGUGGUGUGUUUUGGUUUUUUGUUUUUAAUGCUCAACAUAAAAAAACAAGCUCCAGAUAAAGGCUGACUGCUAAAUAAUGGAUUUUGUUAAUGUUUCUUACCUCUCUUUGUUGGGCUUUAUAUUGAUAUCACAAAUGAUGUUAAUAUCAGCGAAUUUUAUUCUGAAUUUGCUUAGGAGUGAAGCCAUCCUGAAAACAAAAGAGAAAUGUUUUAUCACUGUACUUCUGAGUGCCUUGUAUCAAAGAGCACUCAUAAAUGAGUUAGACAACUGCAUUUGAUAUCUUAUCUUUAACUACAUGACAAAUUACUUUAAAUGCUUUUAGUGUUUCAAUUUGCAAUUACAGAACUGGAUUAAUAUGAUUGCUGUAGUAUAAUUCAUUUAACUGAUGAUCGAUGAAAAUCACAAAAACUGGAAAUUAAUAGCAGACAGAGGGCAAGGUGUUUACAUUUUGGGGAAAAAAUGGUACUUUAAGUAUAUCCUAAAGCUUGAGUUAUAAAGGACAAAUAUUCAAAAGUGCAGUAGGGCAGAAUCCUCCAAUUCUUACAGAAGGCUUCUGUUAUUCUGUUAUUAUCAGAAUUCUAUGCAUGGAGUGCGUACAACACUGGUAGUGCAUGUGUUGGUGAAAAUCUGGUCCAGAAAGUUCGUGUGCAACACUUAAAGAGUCUUUUUCAUUUAUGAAUUUAUAGUGAUCUACUCACAUGUUGUUUUUGCACAUUUUCAUAAAAGAAAAUACUUUACUUUUCAGCCUUGGUUGGCAGAAGGAAUAGUUUAUAGCUUUGUGUGUGUUUGUGCUGAGGUUAGAGAGGUUUGCUUAGGUCAGUUUUGCCUUUGUUUGAAGCACAGUUGGGAUCUCGUGGUUCUUCCCCACACCUCCUUCCCCUUCUUUUUUUUUUUUUUUUUUUUGUGGUACAUAAGCUUUGAAAUUUGAAAAGGUCAGAGAGUUCCUAGGAGCAAACCAUGGUAGAAGUACAUAUUUGUUUAUGACCUGAGAGUUUACUCAUUGUUUUUUUUAUAUAUAAGAAGAACAUACUGCUUCUGUAAAUUUUGAUGUCCCUUGGGGCAAAUCCUUGUUUUGAACAGGAAAAAGAGAAAAGUCUCAACUUCUGUGGAGAGGUUUUAAUAUUUGGGGAAUUACAUGCUAGUAAAAGUGCAGCUAAAUUUAACUUCUGAAUUGGCUGAAAUUGAACUUGACUGAUGUUGGUUUUAACUGCUCUUUGUUAAGCAGUUGCUGAUUUUCAUCCCAAAUUGAGCUGCUUCCACCAGUGGUGAAAUAGUUGUGCCUCUAGUGUGUAAAGUGCUUUGGAAGGAAAGGUGCUGUAUACAGUGAUGAUAAAAAUAAGUUAAUAUUAGUACCUUUCAUUUGCUUGAAGGCAAAUGAUGAUUAUGAAAUCUAGACUUUUUUUAAAAAGCUGAGUAAAAUCAACUUGGUCUUAAAGUUGAUUAACUUGCUCUUUAACUUCUUUACUUUUUGCCACAGUUAAUCACAUUUAUGUGAGCUAUCUAUCUAUGGUAUUGCAUAUGAGAGUUUCAUGUGCAAUUUCACUUGCUGUUAACUGGACAAUCUCAUGUAAAUCCCAUAAAAGUAAUUAUAUUCUCAUUACGAAGUGCAGACUGUUCUUCUUAGGGAAGGGAAUAUGAGCUAUUAAUGGGAAAAAGUGCUGGAUGUGAGUUUCCUUUGGUAAUGACCAUUUGCAGAGCCUUGAGGGCUAUGCCAUAAGCUCAACACCUUUCUGUCAAGUACAUCUUUUCUUUUUUUCCUGCUGCCCACAGUACAAGAAACCAGUUGUGCUGGAAAAUUCUCAGCUUCCUGCUGUAUAUGCAUUCUAUUCAGCAUCAUUCAAACACUGAACAGUGAGAUAAAUAAAAUUAUAUUUACACUAGUUUUUCUUCUUCAAUCCUGUUGACUUUUCCUCCAGUGAAGAUCCUUAAUUUGCAAUUUUUCCACUUCUUCCUGAUAGUUAGAAUGUAAGGAAUUAGGAUUGUUAGACCUGGAAGAACAUACAAAAUUACAGGAAGAUCAGAUUAGUGCAUUGUGUGGUAAAAAUUCCAUCCUUCACUUCAGCAGCAUUGGAUGUAAGUUAAUUUUAAAACAUGUAAUGCAGACAUAAAAUUGAAUAUGUGAUCUUAAAAGAAAAUGGUUUAAUGUGAAUUCCCAAGCCUGUUUUUAUAUUUGGUAACACAGAAAUCUCUCUCCCUGUGGUUCUUACUCAAAUUCCUUACCUCCAUCAUCGAACAGCCACCAAAUGUCAAUUGUACCUUUUCCUUGCUUCUUUUUAAAUUGAGUGCUGGCUUCUAGCAGCUUCUGAUUGAAUUCACCCACAUGCAUUGACUGCAUGGUGUUAAUGGUGCUCUCUGCAAUGAGAAAGGAAAAAAUGUGAAAGGAUGUCUGACAAGUGAGGAUACAAGUAGCUUAGGGAGCCAAACAGAGAGAAAGCUUCAAGAAAAUGAACUGUUUCUGACAUAAUUUCUGUACUUUUAAAUCUGAAAAAAAAUUACAGAGUGGAUGCUAUGGAGUUUUAGUGUGCCAAUACUCACAGAAACCAAAGCUUGUGGGAUACAUUGUCACUAGAUUAUAGCAUCUUGAAAAGGGUUAUCUGAUUAUUUGUUCUCUGUCUCUUUUUACGUAAUGUAAAAUUCUCUGGGGCUUUAAAAAGCAAGUGGGAAAUAUCUGAUAGAUUUUAGAAGUAAAUGUGUUAUUUUGCAUCAUUUACAAUCUCAGCUGUCUUGUAAAACACAGAGCUCCCUGGAAGGCACAGCGAUGGUGGACAAAACGAGGAUGCAGCGGGAGCACAGCCUGUAGAUCUUCCUGAUACCUGUGGGAGUUGCAUGCACAGCCAGAUGUAAUAGUCUCUGCAGGUGAAAAUUCUGAAAAUACAUGUCUGUGUACAAGCAUGGCUUCAGGUCUCAGAAGAGCAUGUUUAUCCUCAGAAUUAGCACUCUAACAGUUUUGGAGGAACCACUGCAAAGGGAGCUGAAUUACUUGCCAAACCCUAACACUGCAAAUUAGUGACAAAGCUGAAAAUGGAGCCUGGGUGUCAGUGUUGUUUAAAUAUAUAUUACAUUUGGCACAUAGACUUCAACUAAAUUUUGUGUCUUUGAAGUAAAACUGAGUAUAAGGAAAUGGAUAGUUUAAUUUUACCUGGAAGACUUUGGGUGCGCUGACAAGGGAUGCUAGAGCUGAUGACAGAGUAGCUGAAAAGAUGCCAGCUGUGAUGAGAGGACCAAAGCCAGACACCAUGCUCAUCACCUUUAUGAAAAAAAGAAGAUAAAAAGAAUAGUCAGUCAUCACCUUUAUGAAAAAAAAAAGAAAUGAGAAAAAACACAUGGAGGCAACUUGGAGUGCUGAUCUCAACAUCCUUAGUGGCCAAAAUGGGAAAUUUAGAUCCAAAUAAUGCAAUGACCUGAGCUGAGGCUUGAGUCAAGCAUUCUGCCUUUUGCAUAAAGUACAAGAACAACAAAAGUCAAGAAGACUUGAGAGUCAUCUCCCAGAAAAGGAAGUACUCUGCAGGGCUUUCAUGCAGGAUUGAGCCUACAGAUAGUAUUAUGAAGUUAAUGAAAUACGUACUUUCAGAUCUCCUGAGAUAUUGGCUCCUGCAAGAAUGCCAGUGGCAGCUGGGAAAAAAAUGGCAAACACCGAAAAAAAUCCUUCUCCACUUCUGAAAUCUGGUCCAAAGUUUUCUGCAAAUAUUGAUGCUGCAAA